AUUGAACGCUGGCGGCAUGCUUUACACAUGCAAGUCGAACGGUAACAGGCCGCAAGGUGCUGACGAGUGGCGAACGGGUGAGUAAUGCAUCGGAACGUGCCCAGUCGUGGGGGAUAACGCAGCGAAAGCCGCGCUAAUACCGCAUACGAUCUAUGGAUGAAAGCGGGGGACCGCAAGGCCUCGCGCGAUUGGAGCGGCCGAUGUCAGAUUAGGUUGUUGGUGGGGUAAAGGCUCACCAAGCCAACGAUCUGUAGCUGGUCUGAGAGGACGACCAGCCACACUGGGACUGGGACACGGCACGGACUCCUACGGGAGGCAGCAGUGGGGAAUGUUGGACUAUGGGCGCAAGCCUGAUCCAGCCAUGCCGCGUGCAGGAAGAAGGCCUUCGGGUUGUAAACUGCUUUUGUAAGGAAAGAAACGGUCCUGGUUAAUACCCCGGGCUAAUGACGGUACCGUAAGAAUAAGCACCGGCUAACUACGUGCCAGCCGCCGCCGUAACAC
rnacentral:rRNA from 1 species